rnacentral:rRNA from 1 species
GACGAACGCUGGCGGCGUGCCUAAUACAUGCAAGUCGAGCGAGCGAAACUAACAGAUUUACUUCGGUAAUGACGUUAGGAAAGCGAGCGGCGGAUGGGUGAGUAACACGUGGGGAACCUGCCCCAUAGUCUGGGAUACCACUUGGAAACAGGUGCUAAUACCGGAUAAGAAAGCAGAUCGCAUGAUCAGCUUUUAAAAGGCGGCGUAAGCUGUCGCUAUGGGAUGGCCCCGCGGUGCAUUAGCUAGUUGGUAAGGUAAAGGCUUACCAAGGCGAUGAUGCAUAGCCUAGUUGAGAGACUGAUCGGCCACAUUGGGACUGAGACACGGCCCAGACUCCUACGGGAGGCAGCAGUAGGGAAUCUUCCACAAUGGACGCAAGUCUGAUGGAGCAACGCCGCGUGAGUGAAGAAGGUUUUCGGAUCGUAAAGCUCUGUUGUUGGUGAAGAAGGAUAGCGGUAGUAACUGGCCUUUUUUUGACGGUAAUCAACCAGAAAGUCCCGGCUAACUACGUG